ensembl:snRNA U6 U6 spliceosomal RNA
GUGCUGGCUUUGACAGUACAUGUACUAAAAUUAGGUCAAUACAGAGAUUAUUAGUAUGGCUCCUGCUCAGGGCUGACAUGCAAAUUCAUGAAGUGUCCUGUAUUUUU